UUUGACCUCAAAUCAGGUAGGACUACCCGCUGAACUUAAGCAUAUCAAUAAGCGGAGGAAAAGAAACCAACAGGGAUUGCCUCAGUAGCGGCGAGUGAAGCGGCAAAAGCUCAAAUUUGAAAUCUGGCG
rnacentral:rRNA from 1 species